rnacentral:rRNA from 1 species
UACGAAGGGAGCUAGCGUUGUUCGGAAUCACUGGGCGUAAAGCGCACGUAGGCGGAUUGUUUAGUCAGGGGUGAAAUCCCGGGGCUCAACCUCGGAACUGCCUCUGAUACUGGCGAGCUUGAGUGCAGGAGAGGAACGCGGAAUUCCAGGUGUAGCGGUGAAAUGCGUAGAUAUCUGGAGGAACACCGGUGGCGAAGGCGGCGUUCUGGACUGCAACUGACACUGAUGAACGAAAGCCAGGGGAGCAAACGGG